rnacentral:misc_RNA from 1 species
UUGUUUUGUUUUGUAUUUGUUACAUUCAAUUACUUAGGGUAUGUUAAAUGGACGGGUUCUCGCUUGCGCAAGUUCCCAGAUAUAGUGCACAGGGUUGAAAAUGAAGGGUCGGUUCCCUCUGAUGAAGAGGACAACCUAAAAUUCAUUAAUGAUCCUUCCGCAGGUUCACCUACGGAAA